rnacentral:rRNA from 1 species
AGACCCGAAACCCGGUGAUCUAGCCAUGGGCAGGUUGAAGGUUGGGUAACACUAACUGGAGGACCGAACCGACUAAUGUUGAAAAAUUAGCGGAUGACCUGUGGCUGGGGGUGAAAGGCCAAUCAAACCGGGAGAUAGCUGGUUCUCCCCGAAAGCUAUUUAGGUAGCGCCUCGUGAAUUCAUCUCCGGGGGUAGAGCACUGUUUCGGCUAGGGGGCCAUCCCGGCUUACCAACCCGAUGCAAACUGCGAAUACCGGAGAAUGUUAUCACGGGAGACACACGGCGGGUGCUAACGUCCGUCGUGAAGAGGGAAACAACCCAGACCGCCAGCUAAGGUCCCAAAGUCAUGGUUAAGUGGGAAACGAUGUGGGAAGGCCCAGACAGCCAGGAUGUUGGCUUAGAAGCAGCCAUCAUUUAAAGAAAGCGUAAUAGCUCACUGGUCGAGUCGGCCUGCGCGGAAGAUGUAACGGGGCUAAACCAUGCACCGAAGCUGCGGCAGCGACGCUGAUGCGUUGUUGGGUAGGGGAGCGUUCUGUAAGCCUGCGAAGGUGGCCUGUGAGGGUUGCUGGAGGUAUCAGAAGUGCGAAUGCUGACAUAAGUAACGAUAAAGCGGGUGAAAAGCCCGCUCGCCGGAAGACCAAGGGUUCCUGUCCAACGUUAAUCGGGGCAGGGUGAGUCGACCCCUAAGGCGAGGCCGAAAGGCGUAGUCGAUGGGAAACGGGUUAAUAUUCCCGUACUUGGUGUUACUGCGAAGGGGGGACGGAGAAGGCUAUGUUGGCCGGGCGACGGUUGUCCCGGUUUAAGCGUGUAGGUGUGUGUUCCAGGUAAAUCCGGUUCACUUUAACACUGAGGCGUGAUGACGAGGCACUACGGUGCUGAAGCAACAAAUGCCCUGCUUCCAGGAAAAGCCUCUAAGCAUCAGGUAACAUCAAAUCGUACCCCAAACCGACACAGGUGGUC